UACGAAGGACCCGAGCGUUAUCCGGAUUCAUUGGGUUUAAAGGGAGCGUAGGCGGACUUAUAAGUCAGUGGUGAAAUCUCCUUGCUUAACAAGGAAACUGCCAUUGAUACUGUAGGUCUUGAGUACAGUUGCCGUUGGCGGAAUAUGACAUGUAGUGGUGAAAUACUUAGAUAUGUCAUAGAACACCGAUUGCGAAGGCAGCUAACGAAGCUGUAACUGACGCUGAGGCUCGAAAGUGCGGGGAUCAAACAGG
rnacentral:rRNA from 1 species